UACGUAGGGUGCGAGCGUUGUCCGGAAUUAUUGGGCGUAAAGAGCUUGUAGGCGGUUUGUCGCGUCUGCCGUGAAAAUUCGAGGCUCAACCUCGAACUUGCGGUGGGUACGGGCAGACUAGAGUGUGGUAGGGGAGACGUGGAAUUCCUGGUGUAGCGGUGAAAUGCGCAGAUAUCAGGAGGAACACCGAUGGCGAAGGCAGGUCUCUGGGCCACUACUGACGCUGAGAAGCGAAAGCAUGGGGAGCGAACAGG
rnacentral:rRNA from 1 species